rnacentral:rRNA from 1 species
GACGAACGCUGGCGGCGUGCUUAACACAUGCAAGUCGAACGGAAAGGCCUUGCUUUUGUGGGGUGCUCGAGUGGCGAACGGGUGAGUAACACGUGAGUAACCUGCCCUUGACUUUGGGAUAACUUCAGGAAACUGGGGCUAAUACCGGAUAGGAGCUCCUGCUGCAUGGUGGGGGUUGGAAAGUUUCGGCGGUUGAGGAUGGACUCGCGGCUUAUCAGCUUGUUGGUGGGGUAGUGGCUUACCAAGGCUUUGACGGGUAGCCGGCCUGAGAGGGUGACCGGCCACAUUGGGACUGAGAUACGGCCCAGACUCCUACGGGAGGCAGCAGUGGGGAAUAUUGCACAAUGGGCGGAAGCCUGAUGCAGCAACGCCGCGUGCGGGAUGACGGCCUUCGGGUUGUAAACCGCUUUCGCCUGUGACGAAGCGUGAGUGACGGUAAUGGGUAAAGAAGCACCGGCUAACUACGUG